rnacentral:rRNA from 1 species
AUUGAACGCUGGCGGCAGGCCUAACACCUGCAAUUCGAACGCGUGGCGGACUGGUGAGUAAUUUCUGGGAAACUGCCUGACGGAGGGGGUUAACUGCUGGAAAAGGUAGCUAAUACCGCUUUCCAUCAGGUGUGCCCAGGUGGAAUGAGCUUGUUGGUGGGGUAUAGGUCCACCAGUGCGACGAUCACUAGCUGGUCUGCGAGGGUGACCAGGCAAACUGAAACUGAGACACGGUCCGGGAUCCGACGGGAGGCAGCGGAGGGGAAGAUGGGACAAUGGGCGAAAGCCUGAUGCAGGCAUGCCGCGUGUGUGAAGAAGGCCUUCGGGUUGUAAAGUACGAUAAGCGGGGAGGCGUUACCCGCAGAAGGAGCACCGGCGAACACCGGGCCAGCAGCCGCGGUAAUAC